AAGUCGUAACAAGGUAUCCGUAGGUGAACCUGCGGAUGGAUCAUUAUUGAAAACUUAGGUUUAGUAAGUGAAAGCUUAUCUUUACCACUAGAGUUUGUCUCUUCGGAGGCAGCUCGAAACACCAUUUUGUGAACUAGAAUUAUAUUUUGCAGUUGCUGGAGGGUUUUUUACUCUUUAGCUUCUGUUAAAAAAACAUUUAUUGUCUAGCGACUUUCUUUUUGAAAACCUACUGUAAUGGUAGAAAUAAAAAUUGAUAACAACUUUUGACAACGGAUCUCUAGGUUCUC
rnacentral:misc_RNA from 1 species